rnacentral:rRNA from 1 species
CCUACGUGAUCUGAGUUCAGACCGGAGAAAUCCAGGUCAGUUUCUAUCUAUAAGAAGUCUUCUUUAGUACGAAAGGACCGAUAAGACACGGCCAAUGCAUCAGCAAGCCCUCCUCCCCAAUUUAUGACUCAAGCUCAAUAAACAACUAGUUCAACACCAAGCCUUAGAAAAAGGCA